GUAGGUGGCAAGCGUUGUCCGGAGUUAUUGGGCGUAAAGCGCGCGCAGGCGGUUCUUUAAGUCUGAUGUGAAAGCCCACGGCUCAACCGUGGAGGGUCAUUGGAAACUGGAGAACUUGAGUACAGAAGAGGAAAGCGGAAUUCCACGUGUAGCGGUGAAAUGCGUAGAGAUGUGGAGGAACACCAGUGGCGAAGGCGGCUUUCUGGUCUGUAACUGACGCUGAGGCGCGAAAGCGUGGGGAGCAAACAGGAUUAGAUACCCUGGUAGUCCACGCCGUAAAUGAUGAGUGCUAAGUGUUAGGGGGUUUCCGCCCCUUAGUGCUGCAGCUAACGCAUUAAGCACUCCGCCUGGGAGUACGGCCGCAAGGCUG
rnacentral:rRNA from 1 species